AAAGAUUAAGCCAUGCAUGUCUAAGUAUAAGCAAUCUAUACAGUGAAACUGCGAAUGGCUCAUUAAAUCAGUUAUCGUUUAUUUGAUAGUACCUUACUACUUGGAUAACCGUGGUAAUUCUGGAGCUAAUACAUGCUAAAAAUCCCGACCUCUGGAAGGGAUGUAUUUAUUAGAUAAAAAACCAAUGCCUUCGGGCUCCUUGGUGAUUCAUGAUAACUUUAUGAAUCGCAUGGCCUUGUGCCGGCGAUGGUUCAUUCAAAUUUCUGCCCUAUCAACUUUCGAUGGUAGGAUAGUGGCCUACCAUGGUUU
rnacentral:rRNA from 1 species